rnacentral:rRNA from 1 species
UACGUAGGGGGCAAGCGUUGUCCGGAUUUAUUGGGCGUAAAGAGCGUGUAGGCGGUUUGGUAGGUCCGCUGUGAAAACUCGAGGCUCAACCUCGAGACGCCGGUGGAAACCAUCAGGCUAGAGUCCGGAAGAGGAGAGUGGAAUUCCUGGUGUAGCGGUGAAAUGCGUAGAUAUUCGCAAGAACACCAGUGGCGAAGGCGGCUCACUGGCCCAUUACUGACGCUGAGGCACGAAAGCGUGGGGAGCAAACAGG